UCCCUGGUGGUCCAGUGGCUAAGACUCUGCAUUCCCAAUGCAGAGAGGCUGGGUUUGAUCCCUGGUCAAGGAA
rnacentral:tRNA from 1 species